rnacentral:rRNA from 1 species
GGCCGAGAGGCCUCAUCUCUAUAUCCCUCACCUCUGUGAACCGUCGGACCUCCGGGUCUGUCCAUACAAACAUCUGUGUAAUGAACGUGAAUAACAUUAACAAAACAAAACUUUCAACAACGGAUCUCUUGGCUCUCGCAUCGAUGAAGAACGCAGCGAAAUGCGAUAAGUAAUGUGAAUUGCAGAAUUCAGUGAAUCAUCGAAUCUUUGAACGCACCUUGCGCCUUUUGGUAUUCCGAAAGGCAUGCCUGUUUGAGUGUCAUGAAAUCUCAACCCCCCCGGGUUUUACGAUCCGGGCGGGGCUUGGACCUGGGCGCUGCCGGUCACACGGCUCGCCUCAAAUGACUCAGUGGAUCUCACCGCAUCCGUGGCAGACGUAAUAAGUUUCGUCUCGUCCCUUGUGGAGGAGUCUGCUCAGAACCCGCCAUCGCGCACCUUAGACUCUGACCUCAAAUCAGGUAGGACUACCCGCUGAACUUAAGCAUAU